rnacentral:rRNA from 1 species
CUACACAUGCAGUCGACGGCAGCACAGAGAGAGCUUGCUCUUUGGGUGGCGAGUGGCGGACGGGUGAGGAAUACAUCGGAAUCUACUCUGUCGUGGGGGAUAACGUAGGGAAACUUACGCUAAUACCGCAUACGACCUACGGGUGAAAGCAGGGGAUCUUCGGACCUUGCGCGAUUGAAUGAGCCGAUGUCGGAUUAGCUAGUUGGCGGGGUAAAGGCCCACCAAGGCGACGAUCCGUAGCUGGUCUGAGAGGAUGAUCAGCCACACUGGAACUGAGACACGGUCCAGACUCCUACGGGAGGCAGCAGUGGGGAAUAUUGGACAAUGGGCGCAAGCCUGAUCCAGCCAUACCGCGUGGGUGAAGAAGGCCUUCGGGUUGUAAAGCCCUUUUGUUGGGAAAGAAAUCCAGCCGGCUAAUACCUGGUUGGGAUGACGGUACCCAAAGAAUAAGCACCGGCUAACUUCGUGCCAGCAGCCGCGGUAAUACGAAGGGUGCAAGCGUUACUCGGAAUUACUGGGCGUAAAGCGUGCGUAGGUGGUCGUUUAAGUCCGUUGUGA